UCCCUAGUGACCGAUAGUGAACCAGUACCGUGAGGGAAAGGUGAAAAGCACCCCGGAAGGGGAGUGAAACAGUUCCUGAAACCGUGUGCCUACAAGUAGUUAGAGCCCGUUAAUGGGUGAUAGCGUGCCUUUUGUAGAAUGAACCGGCGAGUUACGAUUUGUUGCAAGGUUAAGCGGAAAAAGCGGAGCCGUAGCGAAAGCGAGUCUGAAUAGGGCGCAUAAGUAACAGGUCGUAGACCCGAAACCAGGUGAUCUACCCAUGUCCAGGAUGAAGGUAAGGUAAUACUUACUGGAGGUCCGAACCCACGCACGUUGAAAAGUGCGGGGAUGAGGUGUGGGUAGCGGAGAAAUUCCAAUCGAACUUGGAGAUAGCUGGUUCUCUCCGAAAUAGCUUUAGGGCUAGCCUCGAGGUAAAGAGUCAUGGAGGUAGAGCACUGUUUGGACUAGGGGCCCUUCUCGGGUUACCGAAUUCAGAUAAAC
rnacentral:rRNA from 1 species